rnacentral:rRNA from 1 species
GAUGAACGCUGGCGGCGUGCUUUAACACAUGCAAGUCGAGGGGCAUCAGGAAGAAAGCUUGCUUUCUUUGCUGGCGACCGGCGCACGGGUGAGUAACACGUAUCCAACCUGCCCUUUACUCGGGGAUAGCCUUUCGAAAGAAAGAUUAAUACCCGAUAGUAUAAUGAUUCCGCAUGGUUUGAUUAUUAAAGGAUUCCGGUAAAGGAUGGGGAUGCGUUCCAUUAGGUUGUUGGUGAGGUAACGGCUCACCAAGCCUUCGAUGGAUAGGGGUUCUGAGAGGAAGGUCCCCCACAUUGGAACUGAGACACGGUCCAAACUCCUACGGGAGGCAGCAGUGAGGAAUAUUGGUCAAUGGGCGUUAGCCUGAACCAGCCAAGUAGCGUGAAGGAUGAAGGCUCUAUGGGUCGUAAACUUCUUUUAUAUAAAGAAUAAAGUGCAGUAUGUAUACUGUUUUGUAUGUAUUAUAUGAAUAAGGAUCGGCUAAACUCCGUGCCAGCAGCCGCCGCGGU